AGAACGAACGCUGGCGGCAUGCCUAAUACAUGCAAGGCGAACGAACACUUCGGUGUUAGUGGCGCACGGGUGCGUAACGCGUGGGAAUCUGCCCUUGGGUUCGGAAUAACAGUUGGAAACGACUGCUAAUACCGGAUGAUAUCGAAAGAUCAAAGAUUUAUCGCCCAGGGAUGAGCCCGCGUAGGAUUAGCUAGUUGGUGAGGUAAAGGCUCACCAAGGCGACGAUCCUUAGCUGGUCUGAGAGGAUGAUCAGCCACACUGGGACUGAGACACGGCCCAGACUCCUACGGGAGGCAGCAGUAGGGAAUAUUGGACAAUGGGCGCAAGCCUGAUCCAGCAAUGCCGCGUGAGUGAUGAAGGCCUUAGGGUUGUAAAGCGUCUUUUACCCGAGAUGAUAAUGACAGUAAUCGGGAGAAUAAGCCCCGGCUAAACUCCGUUGCCCAGCAAGCCGAC
rnacentral:rRNA from 1 species